UACGUAGGUGGCAAGCGUUGUCCGGAAUUAUUGGGCGUAAAGGGCUCGUAGGCGGUUUGUCGCGUCGGGAGUGAAAACUCAGGGCUUAACCCUGAGCCUGCUUCCGAUACGGGCAGACUAGAGGUAUGCAGGGGAGAACGGAAUUCCUGGUGUAGCGGUGAAAUGCGCAGAUAUCAGGAGGAACACCGGUGGCGAAGGCGGUUCUCUGGGCAUUACCUGACGCUGAGGAGCGAAAGCGUGGGGAGCGAACAGG
rnacentral:rRNA from 1 species